UGGCGGACGGGUGAGUAACACUGGGUAACCUACCCAUCAGAGGGGGAUAACACUUGGAAACAGGUGCUAAUACCGCAUAACGUCGCAAGACCAAAGAGGGGGACCUCCGGGCCUCGCGCCAUCAGAUGAACCCAUAUGGGAUUAGCUUGUAGGUAAGGUAACGGCUUACCUAGGCGACGAUCCCUAGCUGGUCUGAGAGGAUGAUCAGCCACACUGGGACUGAGACACGGUCCAG
rnacentral:rRNA from 1 species